CUAUUCAUUAGCUCAUCAGACCUCACACUCGACAGCAAAUUACAGCAGCGUCUGGUCGGAAAAAGAUUUUAUCAUCACUCGCUUGUGGAUAGGAAAUUAAGGAAAAUAUAUACGCGAACUGAAAAUCCAGAAACAAUACAUAUUUUAUUUUGUAUCUUGCACACACAUUGCUGGACGCUGCUGGCCUUGCCGUGACCAGAAUAUAAAUGGAUCGCAUCAAGAUCGGCGAGGAGCUGUUCUUCCAGAGGAGCGACGGACGUAUCCAGCCGGUGGUUUGCACGUCCAAGAAUCCGGACAACGACUCUGUGACUGGCGAAUGGACCGAGGACGCGGUGGUGAAGGGCAAGGAGGUGCCCUUAAGCCAGCUGAUUGGCAUUAAUCGUCACAUUUUCGCAGACAACCAAAAACCGACAUCGAUAGCGACGGGCUCUAUGAUCCCAAAACCGAGGGAUUCGAGUCCAGCGGUGGAUCGUCCGAACUCGUAUCGGAAAUCCGUUGGUGCAAAUCCGUAUGCCGAGCGCAUGCGGGAGUUGCGCAGUAAGAUGGCCCCGGAGAAACCCAUGAGUCGUUCGGUGGGCAAUCGUGAGCAGGGUGAAUCAGCCACCUGUCGCGUGGACGUGGCCAAGGGCCGCAAUUCCCGCAUUGCCAGUCCGAUCAAGGGACGCGGAUCCCAGAUAUCCCAGGUAUCCCAGGCAGGUCCCGGCAACAAGCGCUGCAUCAGCGUCGUGCAGGAGGUGAACCGCAUGAAGGAGGAACGGGAGCGGCGAAGAGCCCGCCAGGCGGAGAAGCUGCUGGAGAAGGACGCACUGCGUCGCCAGGAUCCGGGGAACCCCAACUGGGAGGUGGCCCUGAUGCUGCGCCAGUACCAGGCCACCUUGAACUUCUCCCCACUCCGGUGCCUGGAUCCGCAUGGCGCCUUUGUGCAGCCCAUUACCGUGUGCGUGCGGAAGAGACCCAUGAGUCGAAGGGAAAGCAUCUGCAAGAGCAUGGACAUCAUCACAGUGCCCACGGUCGAUUCACUGAUCGUCCAUGAGCUGCGCUUCAAGGUGGAUCUCACCAAGUUUUUGGAGCACCACAAGUUUCGCUUCGACUACACCUUCGACGAGGAGUGCUCCAAUGCGCUGGUCUACGACCACACCGCUCGUCCCCUGAUCCAAACCAUGUUCGAGGGCGGCAACGCCACCUGUUUCGCCUACGGACAAACUGGCAGCGGCAAGACCCACACGAUGGGCGGCGAGUUCUGCGGCAAGGUGCAGGACUGCGGCACCGGCAUCUACGCCAUGGCGGCCCGCGAUGUCUUCGAAGAGGUGUCGCGGCAGAAGUAUCGCGAUUUGGGGGCCAAGAUCACGUGCAGCUACUUUGAGAUAUAUGGCAGCAAGGUGUUCGAUCUCCUGCACCCGGACAAACCGAUGCUUCGGGUGCUGGAGGACGGCAGACAGCAGGUGGUGGUGGUGGGAUUGAAGGAGAUGCCAGUGACCAGGGUGGAUGACGUGCUCAGGCUGAUUGAGCUGGGCAACAAGGAGCGCACCUCCGGCCAGACCGCGGCCAAUGCCAAGUCAUCGCGAUCCCAUGCCGUCUUCCAGAUGGCGCUCCACUUCCCCGACUCCUGGGGUCCCUACGGCAAGUGCUCCUUUGUGGACCUGGCGGGCAACGAACGCGGGGCGGAUACGCAAUCCGCCGACCGCCAGACCCGCCUCGAGGGAGCCGAGAUCAACAAAUCGCUGCUGGCCCUCAAGGAGUGCAUUCGGGCCCUUAGCCGGCAGUCCAGUCAUCUGCCCUUCCGUGGCUCCAAGCUAACCCAGGUGCUGCGCGACUCCUUCGUGGGCGGCAAGAAGAACAAGACCUGCAUGAUAGCCAUGAUAUCGCCGUCCACGAGCUGUGUGGAGCACACCCUGAACACCCUUCGUUACGCGGAUAGGGUUAAGGAGCUAGUGGCCAAGGAUGAUGAACUUCAAAACGCUGGAGGGGAUGACGGGAAAUGCCCCGAACUUAACGACGAAUCCGAACCAGACAUCCUGGACGACGUGGAGCAGGUGGAGGAGGAACAGGAAUAUGAAGCUGCACAAUAUCUGCAUAUCUCCGUAUCCUCUGAAGAAGCCAGUACCAACAGCAUGAAGGAAAAGACUUGCCUAACGAGCUUCAAUCCAAACAUUUACACCCCGAAUCUGGAUGAGCCCGUGAAUCUCGACCAAGUGGCUAUACAACACGAUCUUUUAAUACAUUAUCUGGAGAAUUUUGUGCGCGAAACACGCAAUCUGGAUCCUGAAAAAGAUAUCGAAGGAUUAGAAAAUGCAUAUCUGGCACUGGCCAACAUGGUGAACCUUACAAGGGAUUUCGUACUCGAUUUCAACGCUCCGCGCCCCUUCAACGGUAUGGUGCAGAAGGAUUGGGGCCAUGAUGAAAAUGUGAAGGACGGUGAGAAGGAGGGCUAGAUAAACGUUAUAUUUAUUUUGUAGCACUCUAUACCUUUUCACUUGAGCUUUGGGAGACCGUCAAUCGUCACAAAUUUCGAUACAAGCAGUUAAUGAAAAUUGAAGCACGAAUCCAGUAUUAUUUUCCACACAGCUUCUGCCCGAGCCCCAAAACUGCACUCAGGUUUCACUUGAACUCGCCGAGCUGCAUGAACUUCCACCGCUCGCUGAUACAUAUUUAUGACCGUCCAAAGUGUAAUCAACAACACGAGGAGCGAACAAAAGAAACCGAACCUUUGGGGUGGAUUUGUUAACUCGGUUAACGGGCCAUAUUCCCGCCAGCAUAUGUAACAGGUCCGGGAGCAGCCGCAUAAAGUUGCCACAAGAAGUGUUGAACGGUUGAGCGGUGCAAAACUUUUGUCUGCAAUAAAGCAAAAAGUAAAUGUUUCGACUGGGUUGAACAGGGACCAAAUA